rnacentral:rRNA from 1 species
UACGUAGGAGGCGAGCGUUGUCCGGAAUUACUGGGCGUAAAGAGCGUGUAGGCGGCUCGAUAAGUCUGCUGUGAAAGUCCAGGGCUCAACCCUGGAAGGCCGGUGGAAACUGUCGGGCUAGAGUCCGGAAGAGGCGAGUGGAAUUCCCGGUGUAGCGGUGAAAUGCGCAGAUAUCGGGAGGAACACCAAUGGCGAAGGCAGCUCGCUGGGACGGUACUGACGCUGAGACGCGAAAGCGUGGGGAGCAAACAGG